rnacentral:rRNA from 1 species
UACGAAGGGUGCAAGCGUUACUCGGAAUUACUGGGCGUAAAGCGUGCGUAGGUGGUUUGUUAAGUCUGAUGUGAAAGCCCUGGGCUCAACCUGGGAAUUGCAUUGGAUACUGGCAGGCUAGAGUGCGGUAGAGGAUGGCGGAAUUCCCGGUGUAGCAGUGAAAUGCGUAGAGAUCGGGAGGAACAUCUGUGGCGAAGGCGACUAUCUGGGCUGCAACUGACGCUGAGGCGCGAAGGCUAGGGUAGCAAACAGG